UAGGGAAUCUUCCACAAUGGACGAAAAGUACUGAUGGAGCAACGCCGCGUGAGUGAAGAAGGGUUUCGGCUCGUAAAACUCUGUUGUUAAAGAAGAACAUAUCUGAGAGUAACUGUUCAGGUAUUGACGGUAUUUAACCAGAAAGCCGCGGCUAACUACGUGCCAG
rnacentral:rRNA from 1 species